GGGCGGUUAGCUCAGCUGGUAGAGCACCUGCCUUACAAGCAGGUAGUCACUGGUUCGAAUCCAGUACCGCCCA
rnacentral:tRNA from 1 species